rnacentral:rRNA from 1 species
UACGGAGGGUGCAAGCGUUAUCCGGAAUCACUGGGUUUAAAGGGUGCGUAGGCGGCGCGAUAAGUCAGAGGUGAAAGACUGCGGCUCAACCGUAGAAUUGCCUUUGAUACUGUUGUGCUUGAAUUAGGUUGAGGUUAGCGGAAUGUGACAUGUAGCGGUGAAAUGCAUAGAUAUGUCAUAGAACACCAAUUGCGAAGGCAGCUGGCUAGACCUUAAUUGACGCUGAGGCAAGAAAGCGUGGGGAGCGAACAGG